UACAGAGGUCCCAAGCGUUGUUCGGAUUCACUGGGCGUAAAGGGUGCGUAGGUGGUCGGGUAAGUCUGAUGUGAAAUCUCCGAGCUUAACUCGGAAAUGGCAUUGGAUACUAUUCGACUGGAGGGUUGGAGGGGGGACUGGAAUUCUCGGUGUAGCAGUGAAAUGCGUAGAUAUCGAGAGGAACACCAGUGGCGAAGGCGAGUCCCUAGACAACUCCUGACACUGGGAGACGAAAGCUAGGGGAGCAAACAGG
rnacentral:rRNA from 1 species